GAUGAACGCUCGCUACAGGCUUAACACAUGCAAGUCGAGGGGAAACGGCAUCGUAAGCUUGCUUUUGAUGGGCGUCGACCGGCGCACGGGUGAGUAACGCGUAUCCAACCUGCCCAUCACUUGGGAAUAACCUUGCGAAAGUAAGACUAAUGCCCAAUGACAUCCCACGAAGGCAUCCGAACGGGAUUAAAGAUUUAUCGGUGGUGGGUGAGGAUGCGUCUGAUUAGCUUGUUGGUGAGGUGACGGCGCACCGAGGCAACGAUCAGUAGGGGUUCUGAGAGGAAGGCACACCACAACGGAGCUGAGGCACGGACCACAAUGGGACGCGACGGAGCAGUGAGGUAGAUUAGGCAAGGAGGGAUAGUCUGAACCAGCCGAGUGGCGUGCAGGAGUACUGCGCUAUGGGAGGUAAACUGCUUGGAUGAGGGAGUAGAAUGUGUAACGCGUGACUUUUUGAAGGUACCUUAAGAAUAAGGACCGGCUAACUCCGUG
rnacentral:rRNA from 1 species